rnacentral:lncRNA from 1 species
CGAAUGGCAGCAGAGUUAGUUAGUGACAAAGUGGACCGUAGAGCUUGGUUUGAACUACGUGAACAGUUAAGCGUCGGAACUGGUACGUAAGAUUGGAGUCUGCGGAAACGCAUCCUCGAUAAACGUCACAAAUGUUAUUGCAGAGGAACUAGGCAGCUGGGCAAAUAUUGGUUUUGCGAACUUGUAACCAAGCUCAAUACACCGUGUCAACAACAGAAGUCAUGAUUAUUACAGUACAUAUUGUUACGCGGAAACGCCAGUCGAGUCAACAUUUUCUUCAACAGACUGCACAUCCGUAAUUGUCCCAACUGGGCAACUUCAAAAGCGGACUGCAAAUACGACAUAUAUGCCAGGCCAUUGCAUCGUGAGUGCCCGACGAGUGUGUGAAUGCGUCCGAUAUAAUUUCGCUUAAGGAGGCAACACGGAACUGGAAAUCUCGAGCUUCGACAAUGGAUAGGCCAGUUCAUGAUAAGAGCCUCAAACUAAGAUUUUGCGUUGACUCAGGUUUAGAGCCAAGAAGCACAAUCGUCGUUCUACACCCUCGAAUUUCCGCGGCAACAUUUUAACCGCAAGCCCGCGGAUCCGAUCGUCCCAGCGCCUAAUGUACCUAAAUGUAGAAUACCUAAUGUCCCCCUGCACCCCGAGGCUCGAGAAGUCAUAUUUGUGGAUGCCACUACAAUAUAAGCCACUUGCAAGCCUGCUCAGUAAUCUAGGAAACAAGCGGCAGAGGGGGUCGCCGCUAACGAAUUAUAUACACGACGUCGUUGAUGAUCAAUUUCGCCCGGGGGUUUCAUUUUGACCGGAAAUAAUUGAAUAUCGAGUCUGGUGAAUUCAUGCUCAGCGCCAGGAGCUCUGAGCUUUGUAACUACGGUUAGAAUGGAGCAAUGGAAAUGAACAGUUGUCAGAUUGCAGAACAUUUCGGAUUUUAUAACAAGAUUGUACAACAAGAGUGAUAUUAAAUGAAGUAAUGGCAGCUGCCCAUUGGCCGUAGACCGCGGAGACAAUAUAUCGAACGAUUUUGUAGGAAGUCAUAAAAAGUAAGCACAAGUACUAAACAGUAAUUUGUUAUUUUAAUGAAUGACACAAAUAUGGCGUGUUCUAUUGAAAAAGUGACCGAUCCUAAUCUUAUGCGCAGUGUUCUUCGUGUACGCUUGUCACCUGAAAAGUUCAUUUGUAUUUAUCAAAGCUUGCCCUAUAUUUUAUGACCUAAAUUAGGAAUUUUUGUCAGGCUUUCCUAAACGUAUCCUAUUCGUCCUGGUACGAAUAUUCAUUGAGUUGCAGCGGUCGAGAUUCGGUCGUAGUUUCUAACAGCACUAUUAUAAUUUUACGACUCUCACGCUAGCAACUACGCCGCGACUACGUUACCAUUGAAUCAUUUGAUUCCCACCACUCCUUUUUCCUGCCAUAACAGUAUGUUUUGACUAAAGAUUAGCAUAGUAGUUGGGACGAGUUGCAAGUGUCCUGGUCUCUGUUGUUCUAUAGCGGUCGCACCAAGCCUGGAAACAUAUCUCAGAGGUGAUCGUUGCCACUGUAGCAGUUACAACGGACAUCGUCAACACCGACCGCUGCAGUCGCGGGCCACUCUGGGUCACAGGAGCUGAUGGACGAGUGCGCCGAGACAUACUGCUUCGUUUAUGCCCCGUCUCUAAACGAGAAUCUGUGCGACGAAGACCAAACUGGUAAGGUGCCUACGGAAGAAGGUGUUUUUUACGAAAGGGAUUGAGUGUGGGCGAAGCAUUCUAAAGAACGAGAAGACGGAAGAGAAAGCCAGCUUUCAGUAGACGUUAUCUGCAACAGCUGUCGUGGUCAGAACAGCCACAGCCCGUACGGACCCGAGAGCUGCCACGAUGAACGUGCAGGAAGGCGCGUUGUUAUGGAUGAAAGGGUCACCAAAUAGACGUGAAUGGAUCAUACGGCAGGACCGAAAAGUAGGCACCGCCAGCGCAGCGGCGAGAGAACGUUACGACGUUAAAUCUCCAAUACGUUUCUUUGCCCUUUUCAGCUUUUCCAGUAUCCGGUCACCAAUGACACUAGAGGAUUCGUUGCGGGCAACAUCAUCCGCUAGAUGUCAUCCAGAUCCUUUUUUCGACAGCGACUACAUCUGCCGAUCUGAUACUUCAAGAAAAAGAAAUAUUUGGAGAAUUUGCAAGUAAAAUGGGAAAAAAAAAUGGGGACUCGCAAAAGCCUUGAAAAGUUACCCAGCGUUACUUAGUUGCAGCAGACCUCGAAAAUCUUCAAAAAUUUUCGCAAUACGAAUUAGUAGUGAGGUACAAUCCACGCUGCUUUUCCCAUUUCAUGUAUUAGGCAUUUAAUAUGUUCAUAAAUAUCAAGGGCAUUUAAUAUGACGAGCAGACGGCUUUCCCUGCGCGAUUUUAACGAUCGUUUGUAAAGUAAGAUGCUCCAAUAUACCACUCGAUUUUGUUUUAUGUUCGAUUUUGAUGUAACGCAGAGUUCGUUCAUGUUUGGCAGAACAAAAACCUGUGGUAAGACUUUGUAGCAAGCCCUUAACUAAACAGUAAAUCUCUUCCGAGGAAA